GGGAACUCGGCAAAUUGCCCCCGUAACUUCGGGAGAAGGGGGGCCUCCGCUGGUGAUCAGACUUGCUUUGUGAGCUGGUGGGGGUCGCAGAGGCCAGGGGGAAGCGACUGUUUACUAAAAACACAGGUCCGUGCGAAGUCGUAAGACGAUGUAUACGGACUGACGCCUGCCCGGUGCUGGAACGUUAAGGGGACCGGUUAGCGCGCCUUCGGGUGUGCGAGGCUGAGAACUUAAGCGCCAGUAAACGGCGGUGGUAACUAUAACCAUCCUAAGGUAGCGAAAUUCCUUGUCGGGUAAGUUCCGACCUGCACGAAUGGCGUAACGACUUCCCCGCUGUCUCAACCGCAGACCCGGCGAAAUUGCACUACGAGUAAAGAUGCUCGUUACGCGCAGCAGGACGGAAAGACCCCGGGACCUUCACUACAGCUUGACAUUGGCGUUUGGAACGUCUUGUGUAGGAUAGGUGGGAGACGGUGAAGCUGUCACGCUAGUGGCGGUGGAGUCAUUGGUGAAAUACCACUCUGGUCGUUUUGAACGUCUAACUUCGGUCCGUGAUCCGGAUCAGGGACAGUGUCUGGUGGGUAGUUUAACUGGGGCGGUUGCCUCCUAAAGAGUAACGGAGGCGCCCAAAGGUUCCCUCAGCCUGGUUGGUAAUCAGGUGUCGAGUGUAAGUGCACAAGGGAGCUUGACUGUGAGACCGACGGGUCGAGCAGGAGCGAAAGCUGGGACUAGUUAUCCGGCGGUGGCAUGUGGAAGCGCCGUCGCUCAACGGCUAAAAGGUACCCCGGGGAUAACAGUCUGAUCUUCCCCAAGAGUCCAUAUCGACGGGAUGGUUUGGCACCUCGAUGUCGGCUCGUCGCAUCCUGGGGCUGGAGUAGGUCCCAAGGGUUGGGCUGUUCGCCCAUUAAAGCGGUACGCGAGCUGGGUUUAGAACGUCGCGAGACAGUUCGGUCCCUAUCCGCUGCGCGCGCAGGAGACUUGAAAGGAGCUGUCCCUAGUACGAGAGGACCGGGACGGACGAACCUCUGGUGUGCCAGUUGUUCCGCCAGGAGCAUGGCUGGUUGGCUACGUUCGGAAGGGAUAACCGCUGAAAGCAUCUAAGCGGGAAGCUCGCCUUGAGAUGAGGUCUCCCACCACGAGAGUGGGUAAGGCCCCCGGGAGACGACCGGGUUGAUAGGCCGGAGGUGGAAGCAUGGUAACGUGUGGAGCUGACCGGUACUAAUAGGCCGAGGACUUGACCAC
rnacentral:rRNA from 1 species